ACAAAAAUGAUGAGAAAACGUCAAAAAUUGAACUGGUUUGCUACAAAUUUUUGCCAUUAUUAAAAAAUCGAAUCAACUCGCUUUUUCCCUAGAAUAGUAACAUGAAAAUGAUGAGAAAAUGUAAAAAAUUGAACUGGGUUGCCACAAAAUUUGCCACUAUUAAAAAAUCGAAGCAACUCGCUUCUUCCCUAGAAUAGCAAGAUGAAGAGAAGAUAUAUAGUGAAAUAAGAUUAUAGCAAAUUAGGGCCAACAUGGGGAAUAUGCAACUCGCAACAGUUUCUAAGCCGAAAAUUACUAGUGAAUCGAGUAAUGGCAGAUAGCAAUUCUAUUGAAAGGUAGAGAGAGAGAG
rnacentral:misc_RNA from 1 species